rnacentral:rRNA from 1 species
AGAGUUUGAUCAUGGCUCAGAAUCAACGCUGGCGGCGUGCCUAACACAUGCAAGUCGAGCGAGAAAAGGGGGGCAACUCCCUGAGUAAAGCGGCGCACGGGUGAGUAACACGUGGGUAAUCUGCCCUGGAGUGGGGAAUAACACCGGGAAACCGGUGCUAAUACCGCAUACGAUCACAGAGUCUGCGGAUUUUGUGAUGAAAGGAGCAAUUCGCUCUAGGAGGAGCCCGCGGCUGAUUAGCUAGUUGGUGAGGUAACGGCUCACCAAGGCUACGAUCAGUAUCCGGUCUGAGAGGACGGUCGGACACACUGGAACUGAGACACGGUCCAGACUCCUACGGGAGGCAGCAGUGGGGAAUUUUUGGCAAUGGGGGCAACCCUGACCAAGCAACGCCGCGUGGGUGAUGAAGUCUCUUGGGACGUAAAACCCUUUCGACGGGGAAGAAAACCGCAAGGUUUGACGGUACCCGUAGAAGAAGCCCCGGCUAACUCCGUGCCAGCAGCCGCGGUAAUACGGGGGGGGCAAGCGUUGUUCGGAAUUACUGGGCGUAAAGGGCGCGUAGGCGGUUCGCUAAGUUGGAUGUGAAAACUCUGGGCUCAACCCAGAGCCUGCAUCCAAAACUGGCGGGCUAGAGUUCUGGAGGGGGUAGCGGAAUUCCUGGUGUAGCGGAAAUGCGUAGAUAUCAGGAGGAACACCGGUGGCGAAGGCGGCUACCUGGACAGAAACUGACGCUGAGGCGCGAAAGCUAGGGGAGCAAACAGGAUUAGAUACCCUAGUAGUCC